rnacentral:rRNA from 1 species
UACGAAGGGGGCUAGCGUUGCUCGGAAUCACUGGGCGUAAAGCGCACGUAGGCGGAUUGCUAAGUCAGGGGUGAAAUCCUGGAGCUCAACUCCAGAACUGCCUUUGAUACUGGCGAUCUUGAGUCCGGGAGAGGUGAGUGGAACUGCGAGUGUAGAGGUGAAAUUCGUAGAUAUUCGCAAGAACACCAGUGGCGGAGGCGGCUCACUGGCCCGAUACUGACGCUGAGGCACGAAAGCGUGGGGAGCAAACAGG